GGUACAGCCGCGCGCGGAGAAGCCGCUCCCGCCGUCCCGGAGGUCUGAGCGAGCGCAGUAGCCCCAAAAGAUGUUGCUGGACUGACUUCUGUUCCUGCUGGACAAGGCACUGAGAGGAUGCCAGAGAGAGGGAGACUCGUUCGCUGUGCUGUUCAGAUGUUGCUGGACUGACUUCUGUUCCUGCUGGACAAGGCACUGAGAGGAUGCCAGAGAGAGGGAGACUCGUUCGCUGUGCUGUUCAGGAAGCUGGUGGCUUCAGUCGGUUUUACACCAGCCGCUAUGGCCUUAAAGCCACAGUAAUAGCCUGCUGGAUCACACUUAUGG
ensembl:lncRNA